CCUACGGGAGGCAGCAGUGAGGAAUAUUGGUCAAUGGGCGCAAGCCUGAACCAGCCAUCCCGCGUGCAGGAAGACGGCGCUAUGCGUUGUAAACUGCUUUUCCAGGGAGAGAAACUUGCGCACGUGUUGCGCAAUUGACGGUACCCUGGGAAUAAGCAUCGGCUAACUCCGUGCCAGCAGCCGCGGUAAUACGGAGGAUGCGAGCGUUAUCCGGAUUCAUUGGGUUUAAAGGGUGCGUAGGCGGACUAUUAAGUCAGUGGUGAAAUCCUGCAGCUUAACUGCAGAACUGCCAUUGAUACUGAUAGCCUUGAGUUUGGUUAAGGUAGGCGGAAUGUGUAAUGUAGCGGUGAAAUGCUUAGAUAUUACACAGAACACCAAUUGCGUAGGCAGCUUACUGAGCCGACACUGACGCUGAGGCACGAAAGCGUGGGGAUCGAACAGGAUUAGAUACCCUGGUAGUCCACGCCGUAAACGAUGAUUACUCGCUGUUGGCGAUACACUGUCAGCGGCUAAGCAAAAGCAAUAAGUAAUCCACCUGGGGAGUACGGCCGCAAGGUUGAAACUCAAAUGAAUUGACGG
rnacentral:rRNA from 1 species